UGCUCAAUGAUGUUUUAUUAAAUAGCCGCAGUAUUUUGACUGUGCGAAGGUAGCAUAAUCAUUUGUCUAUUAAUUGUAGGCUUGUAUGAAUGGUUGGAUGAGGGAGUUCCUUUCUUUACAUCAAUGGUUGAAUUUAAUUUUUUAGUUAAAAAGCUUAAAUUUUUAAGUGGGACGAGAAGACCCUAUAGAAUUUUAUUUAUUAUUGAUUUUUAUAUAAAUUGGUUAAUGUUUUAUUAAUUAUUAUUUUUAAAUUUUGUUGGGGUGACAAUGAGAUUUUUUUAACUCUCAUAAUUUAUUUGUUUAUUAAUUUGUAUAUAUAAGAUCCUUUUUUAUGGAUAAUUAGAUUAAAUUACCUUAGGGAUAACAGCGUUAUUUCU
rnacentral:rRNA from 1 species